CGCGCCUUCGGGGUGAGCGGCGGACUAAUUAGUAACGCGUGGGAACGUGCCCAGAUCUAAGGAAUAGCCACUGGAAACGGUGAGUAAUACCUUAUACGCCCUUCGGGGGAAAGAUUUAUCGGAUUUGGAUCGGCCCGCGUUAGAUUAGAUAGUUGGUGGGGUAAUGGCCUACCAAGUCUACGAUCUAUAGCUGGUUUUAGAGGAUGAUCAGCAACACUGGGACUGAGACACGGCCCAGACUCCUACGGGAGGCAGCAGUGGGGAAUCUUGGACAAUGGGCGCAAGCCUGAUCCAGCCAUGCCGCGUGAGUGAUGAAGGCCUUAGGGUCGUAAAGCUCUUUCGCCGGAGAUGAUAAUGACAGUAUCAGGUAAAGAAACCCCGGCUAACUCCGUGCCAGCAGACGCGGUAAUACGGAGGGGGUUAGCGUUGUUCGGAAUUACUGGGCGUAAAGCGCGCGUAGGCGGAUUAGAAAGUUGGGGGUGAAAUCCCGGGGCUCAACCCGGAACUGGCUCCAAAACUGCUAGUCUAGAGUUCGAGAGAGGU
rnacentral:rRNA from 1 species